AAAAUUCUGUAGUGUACGCGUUGUCUAAACGCAGGUUUGCCUUACAAUCUUAUUACUUUGGGACUAGUGCAUUGCCUUUUGGACAACAUGCCUUUACACUUGGUAGUUGAAUAUUAGGCAGCCGUGUCCCACCUGUCUUAAACACAGGUCAACACUGAAUGACAAUUAACGGCACCAACGGAGUUUUC
rnacentral:other from 1 species